rnacentral:rRNA from 1 species
GUAGUCCACGCUGUAAACGAUGUCGAUUUGGGGGUUGAACUUUGAGUUUGGCGCCCGUAGCUAACGUGAUAAAUCGACCGCCUGGGGAGUACGGCCGCAAGGUUAAAACUCAAAUGAAUUGACGGGGGCCCGCACAAGCGGUGGAGCAUGUGGUUUAAUUCGAUGCAACGCGAAGAACCUUACCUACUCUUGACAUCCAGAGAACAUUCCAGAGAUGGAUUGGUGCCUUCGGGAACUCUGAGACAGGUGCUGCAUGGCUGUCGUCAGCUCGUGUUGUGAAAUGUUGGGUUAAGUCCCGCAACGAGCGCAACCCUUAUCCUUUGUUGCCAGCGAUUUGGUCGGGAACUCAAAGGAGACUGCCGGUGAUAAACCGGA